GCGCCCGUAGGUCAGUCGGUAGAGUGGUGGAACGAUGAUCCACAGUCCCGGGUUCAAGUCCCGGCGGUUGCU